rnacentral:lncRNA from 1 species
GGGAGAGGCAGCCUCUACCUGAUCUGAUCAGGGAAGGCUUCCUGGAGGAGGAGAAUAUAAUUCUUACCCGCUAACGUCCACAGGGAACUCACGGAGCAGAGUGGGGUUGUUCCCUUAACAUCCAGCGGUUCCCAGAUGUGGCAAAAAUUAAUAUUGUAUACGUAAGGUUUUGGAGGUGGCCUCAGAAGUGUAAACGCCUCGCAGAGGAAUGAUGCGGAACAGGGCUGGAACAGGCCAAAUCAACAUGGAACCACAGAUUACAAACACCGGUUCUGCGAAGCAGCCAGAAUCAGAGAUGCGCAGGAUGAGCGGGAGCUGUUUAGGACUCCUCUGCCGUUUUCCAUCCAACCAUCUCUGAGCCCUCCCCUGAUUUCUCUUCCCAAGGGCUGGCGCAUCCAUCUUCCCCCUACUAUGGCAGCUGGCAAGCAAGAGUCGUCCUUCCCAGACAGAGCAGCUGAGGCCCAGAGAGGUUCAUCGCAGUGGCCAAGGUCACACAGGAGCAGAGAAGUAAUGGGCUUUGAACCUAACGUCUCAGCCCACCGCUCCAAGUACCUAUUCCUCCGUUAAUGCCCUCCCUCUUGUGAGUCUAUAAUUCAAAACAGUCACUUGGAAGCAACGCCAAGAGGGGGUUGUGAGGAAAAGCAGGAGGAAGAAUCUGAUAAUUCUACCAAAUCAUUGUCCUCAAUAUAUUCUCUGCCUAUUAAAUCAGUUACUCCAAAGGUCCAGCAUCUUUUGUUACUAAUGUCUGGCCAUGCUGAAAUGUUUUAAAUGUUCAUCUAAUGCUCACAUAAAUUUUGAGCUUGAAAUCUCCAAUCUUUGGAAAUCUUUUCUAAUCCUAGGUAAAGGAAUGGCUAAAAUAACCUCAUUCCUGGAUACAUUUCACCUGUCAAUCUAGAUAUCUGAAGAGAGCUAUUUAAAAAAAAAAAAAAAAAAAAAACAGGGUUUGCUUCCAGCCUUAGCAUUGCAACACUAUUUGCCAAGGUGAUUACAUCCAAGGAAAUACCAUUAAGUUUUCCUUUCCAGGCCAAUAGACAUCCAGGGUUUAAAACCCUGACUUCAUCAAUGAGAGUCUCAGAGUCUAAACC